rnacentral:lncRNA from 1 species
GCUGGAAGCAGAGCACGAUCUGAGAGUUUAAACAAUCUGGAUCAAUCACUGACUACUACGGAGGAAGAGACUACUACGGAGGAAGAGACUCUUGUAAAAGAGAUACCUCGCGCUCGCUCGUAUUCCUCGCAGGUCUUACGGGGGGAGAGGCUAACAACUUUACAAAUCAACAGUCCAGUUUCAGUGACACCUUUAAUGUCUCUGCAUACUGCUGGAGAUUGUAGAAAAGUUUCUGCUGAACCUGAGCUUGAGAGAAACAUCCUGUCCACAUCACCUCCAAGCCCCAGCCUACGGGAAACGACUCCAGCUGUGUCACCAUUUGCCAAACUGCCAAUCCCAGUGGUGCCAAUUGACAAAAAGGGAAAAGGAGAAGUGAGUGAGAUGCUCAGUAGCUCCAAACUACUCAAGAACAGCCAAAGUACCACUGUGUUAACUGUAAGCCCAACUGUAAGACCAAGUGUAACUACCACACCAGAACUGAGUCCUGUGAAAGAUGAGAAGUCUAAUGCUGUGCCAAUAGAUACCAAGACGGACAAAUGCAGUGUUCAGAAUGCAGUAAAUAUUGAAAAUCACACAGCCUCUGCUCAUGGUCCAACCAAUGUGAUUUGUGGAAUAAAUCUGAGACCAUCAUCUUUGAGGAGAAAUAUACCUUCCACAGAUGAAAAACAAAAAAAAGAGUCCGGGACUGAAGCUCACACUCAAACAGAAUCCAUAAAGCGCCAGAGAACUGUGUCUGGAUCGUUCCACUUCAGUGUCUCCUCAGACAAGAAUCAAGAGCGGCAGAGGACUGCAAGUUUCACUGGAGUAUUUGGACAAGCUGGAAUUAAAAAAAAAGCCUCCAUCUCCUGUCAAACCUCCUUUAAAUUUCAAGAUAGAGCGGCAAGUAAGUUCACAAGUUGAGAAAACAAUAAAAGACACAUGCCCUAACAUACCACCAACUUCAAAGAAGGAAGACAAAACGGACACUUCUCCAGUGAUGCCAACAAAGUUCACAGAUCUAGCAAAGAGUCACCCUCGGGCCUUGGAUGUGGAGGAGAGUCAGGACAACGAGAAGCAGGAGAUUGGGGUAGAGGAAGGAGUACAGGAGGUGGAGCUGGCAGAAGAGGCACGUGAGGAUGUGAUGGAAGAUGUGACUAUGGGAAAAGAGGAAGAUGCUUCAAAUGCAUUUGGAGUGAAGCUUCGCUCUACCUCUCUUUCACAAAAAUUUCACUUGGACAAAGCUCAAUCAGAAGAAGUAAAAUGCCACAGUGUUGAAGUUAGUGCACCGAUUUCCUCUUCGGCCUCUCAGUCUGAUUCAACCAGCUAUGUGGAGCCUGAAGACCAAUGCAUUGGCAUGGGGUCUACAAGAGUCCAUGCUAAACUCAAAGACCCUCCUCUCCAAACUGAUGCAUCCUCAACUUCAGUUCAUUCCUUCGGUUCGCCACCUAAGAGUUCCUGUAGGGACAAAGAGAGAGCUGGUGUCCUCAGACAGGCUGAACCUGCUCAGCCCUCAUCAUCAGCCAGCAAAUCCGCUAAGACUGUACCUUCACCAGCUAAAGAAGAUGCAGACUUGCCUCCAGAAGAGACUACAGUGGUAUCCUCUCAGGAGAAUACAACAUCUACAGCUUCAGAGGUGUCCUGGAUGGAGAUGGCCAGAGAGAAGACCAGAAGUCUCCAACAGCUCUUUACCAGUAGGCUGCCUGAGUUUCCUAGCUUGCAAUCACGACCAACAACCUUAACCACAACACAACCACAAACAUCCACUUCACAAGCCAAUCCAAGAAUCACACAAAACAUUUCAAGCCAGCCGACGACUACACAACCUCUUUUGAGACCUCCAGAAACAAAACCGUUGCCCUCUGCACAGCAAUCUGGAAGAUCUACACAAUCUACCACUCAGCUGAUACAAACUCAGACCAAAACAACAGCAAGCCAGCCUUCGGCAAAUUCAACUCAGACUACCACUAGUCAAUCUCAAACUGACAGUGCCAGAGAAGUCCAGUUUCAGUCCAAGACUCAAAUUUGUAAUUCGACAACAAAAUUAACCCAGUCUGAAGUUACAAGCACAUCGACUGCACAAACCACCAACGUAUACACAGCAAAACAGCCAUCACAAGCAUUGGCACCGCAGACACCACCCAUCCAGCCGUCAUCACCACUGCGAGCAGCAUCACAGACCCCCUCACAAGCUAUACUGCGUCACACACCACCCCCAAGUUACCCACAUCUGUCAUCAAGCCCAAAGUUAACGUCCCACCUAGUGUCCCAACAGUCUGCCAAUACUGUCUCAAACGAUCAGCCUCAGAAUGAGGGGAGAGAGCCCACCGUAUUCUCAGGGAAAGCUGACGGGGCGUCUGCGUCUCAGGGGAAAGACACUGGGCCUAAAGAUGGCAGACCAGUGUGGGCAACAGGAUCAGGAAACAAGACCUCACUCUUACAGCGCUGGGAGAACCAAACAACUGCGACAACCGAGACAGGUGAGCUGAAAUCCACAGCAGACUCCCGAACCACAUUUCAAUCUACAGUUCCUCUCAAACCAAUCUCAAAAGUCUCAGGCACAGGAUUCGACUCAGGUUUGUAUAAGUGGGUGACACAAUAUGAGUUUAACAUGACAGCUACCUUUGAAGUAUAUGCUCAUAUUUGGUGUCGAUAUUUCUAGAAGCAUCAGUCUCUUCUGUUUCCAUGAGGUCAGCAGACAGAGAGAAUAAAUGUCAGCAGAAAUCAGUGCCACCAUCAUCACCUUCAUCAUCAUCUCCUCUGCAGUCUGUCCGUGACACUGCCCAACCAUCCUGGAUGGAGCUGGCAAAGAGGAAAUCCCUGGCAUGGAGUGAUAAGACUAUGGACUAAAAAAGGGCAUUUUCAUGCUUCCAUUUUCUAAGUUGCAUCUAAGCAAUUGUAUUUGAGUCAGAGAUUUGCUCCAUGUGAGCUUCACUUUGAAGUUGAUGUUAAAGCAGUGUGUUCUGGAAGUGAACCACUAUUGCUUAUUAUAUUAUUGAAGGAAAGUUGCACAUUCAUCAGUCAGUAAACCUCCUUAUAGAGUUUGUCUUCUGAAACCUCACGAGAGCUGCUUACGUGCUCUCCAUGUGAAGUAUGAAUGUAUGCACAGGAGAUAAGUACCAACGAAACAAAAAGGAGAAGUUAAUAUUGUGAGCUUUAAAGUCAUGUUCUCUUGCAACUCUGGCUAGCAGCUGCUGGUAAUGUAUUUUGUAAAUGCACCACAGUGCAGCACAAUAGAAAACACUGGGAAAGUAGAUCAGAGGCGGAAGGGGAGGGAAACAAAUUCAGGUUCAGACUCAAUCAAAAGCACCCUGUGUGAGAUCUCAGGAACAGAAACAUAUGGUACCAUAUGUUUUACCCACUACCAUGUUAUGUUGCUCAAUGUUUCUCAGGUUUAACACAUUGUUUUCUUGUGAAAAUAAUACAUUUAAUUAUUUCCUUUCCAAUUACAAAUUUUAUUUAUUUUCAAUAAAUAAAUAUUUCCAAUAUUUCCAAUUCAAUUCCAUCCGAGAAUUUGACGUUGUAUCAUCUGUUAAUUUUCUGACACCUAUUAAGUUAAAGACUAUUAUAAUUUUAUGUUAAAUUAUGUGACUGUAAGAAUAUUUCAAAUUACUUUGAGAUUGCUUUUGAAAAUACCAACUUCCUUGGCCAAUAAAUUCAUCUUAUUAAAUCUGAGACGUGAUAUGUUAUUUAUUGUCAUUUAAAAAUAUACAUCAGUAACACAACAACAAUAAAUAUUGUUUAAAAAUAAAAAAAAUAAUAUUAUAUC